AACGCUGUAUGUAGCUGGUUGGCAUCGGGUCAGAUCUGUUUUUUUAUAAAGUAUUUGGUCCCCUUCAACCAGCUGUAGCAGUGGUUGAUA
rnacentral:pre_miRNA from 2 species